rnacentral:lncRNA from 1 species
GAACAUGUCUAAACCUUGCGUCCCUAUGUUACCAUUCGAGUUCUUAGUCUUACGAUCUCCUCUGCCUACAAAUCUACCACUUGGGUAACCCCUAGUGGACUGCCGAUCACCAAAUCUGACAAGUAGUGAUCACGUAUACGAGUGUGGUGCUCGGGCGUACUGGGAUCCAUUGAAUAUGACUGUACCCCAUGGUCUGAGGGGUAAGAGGCACGUGGUCAUAGCCCUGUCCGUCCCUUGUAGUCACCCACAUUCGGGUAUGAUGUAGGAAGUCUGAAAGAUACCUUGCCUUGGCAGACUAGGGACGACUAUUCUCCCC